UCCCUAAUAGCUUAGUUGAUAAAUCAUCUGCCUGCAAUGCAGGAGACCUGGGUUCGAUUCCUGGGUCGGGAA
rnacentral:tRNA from 1 species